GGUGCAACAAAUUUUACAUCAAGAACAGGGCCUGGGACUUCAUCUAAUAGAAACAGGAAAGAAUGUUGAAGGCUUCUUCUUCAGAUGAUCUGCAACAUUUCCCAGUAACAAGGCCCCUUCAGGAUGGCUACUACUAAUGAGGCGGGAUCAGAAUCACAAUAUGUGAAGCCUGUGAAGAAUGCACAGAAGAUGAAGUGUUUGCCAAUUUUUCAAUGUUCUAAGAUUCAUAAUGGUAUCAAUAUAUACCAUUGGGAAGGGAACACAGGCCAUGAGGGACAGAGGACAAUGAAUUAGAAGAAUGGUGAAGUGAUCAGAUGUUUGCUGAAUUCAAUGCUGACAGUUUCACAAGUAGAUCAACAAAUUAUGGCGCCAAGGCCAUCCACAUCAAAACCCUCUACUUCACAUGAAAUACCAGGUGAAUUAAUAUGUAUCUCAUGUGUCUCAGACAAAAGCAGGAGGCCAGUGCUUUACCCUGAUUGCUGAAAGACAUAACAGGAUAAAGAACAAUAUAUUCAUGAUUAUGAAAAGAAGGAAAGUGUAUGCUUACCGUGUGAGCAUAUUGAAGUCCCGCUAAAAGGCAGGUUACUAAAUUCUUUUUAAACUGGGAUUUAAUUUCGGACAGAGCACCAAUUGACUACAUUUGUGGUGACACCCUGAAGAAUUAUUAAAAUAUUUUUUGUGUCCUGUAAUGAAGUUUUAGCAUGUGAAUUUGUGGAUUCACAUGCUAAAUUGCCAGCAGCAUUGUCACAUGGAAAAUAGCCAAACAUUAGACUACCAAAUCAACUUGUAUCAACAUAUUCAUUUCCAGUUUUACAAUGUUUAUGUGCAGUUGGAAUUAUACAGACUGUUUGAUGGGUUGGGGGAGAGGUGUCAAUACCAUGACACUGAUUCUGUUAAAAAUGUAGCAAGGGAAUGUGGACACCCCCCUUAGAUGAUUAAGGCGGCUGAUGAAUGAGAUUCCACAAAACACCACCAUCAUUGAGUUUGUGGUAGUUGGUCCCAAAAUGUAUGAAUAUGCUUUGCCAAAUGGGAUGACAGUGUUAAAAGUGAAAAGAUUUACACAAAAAACUGCCAAUUGUUGUAAGGUUAACUUUGAGAGCUUGAAAGACUCGGCUGAUGAUUAUUGUUUAUGUGAUGAGGAAGAGAAGAAAGAGAUCAAAGUAGAAUUAGGUGCUCAGAAAAACUCUAAAAGUAAAUAAUAAAAGCGUUCUCAAAGUUGAGAAUUACUGUGUGCUACCUUAUCGUUAUUAAGUAUGGUGGAAAACUGCACAGUCUGUACAUCCUUUUUCUUGUAUCAUACAGAAUUGGUCUGUCCAAUUCUGGUAAAUCUUUUUUUAUAAAGCAAAUGUUAGAACAUGGUGAGACUAUUAUUUCAAAUGCGUCAAACUAAUUGCAUGGGUUUCUAACUAUUGGCAACCCUUGCACAAAAAACUGCUUAAUAAAUAUCCCAGUAUUAAGUUUAUGGAGAGUCCUCUAGCCCCUUUUGAAGAUACUGACUUGUUUCAACCCCAUCAAAUCAAUAUAGCAAUGGUAGAUACCUCAUGGCCUCAGACAAGGACAACAAAGAGAGAAAGCCUUUUACACUGUAUGUUUGUCACAGAAAUCUGAGUAUUAUUAUCAUAUUUCAAAACCUGUUUUUUCAAGGUAAAGAAAUGAAAGCAAUAGCUCUGAAUGCAAAAUAUUUGGUAUUAUUCUGAUGCCUCUGCAACUUGAUGCAAAUUGUCACAUUGUCAGGGCACAUGUAUCCCAGUAACACUUGGUAUGUUUUAGAAGUAUGCCAAGAUGCCACUGGCAAACCCCAUGGUUUAUAUUUUGGUUGAUCUGGCAGACACUACACCAGGAUACUACAGUUUCUUUCUUCCUGAUUGGCCUGCAGUGUAUACUAUGAAAAAGAAGGGGUAAAAACAGUAGCUUAAGCAGCUGUAUCUCAGCUCAUUCAGGAUGUCUGGGAGGGUACACAGAAAUUGGGGGAUUUUUAAAAUCUUGA